rnacentral:miRNA from 1 species
UUUUGAUUGCUCGUCGAUGUUGUCG